CUUUCUAUCCUUCAGCUGCCCUUCAUGAGUUCCUUGCUAGAUUUACAAAAGUAUCACAGCAUAUCUGAAGACCUGUAUUGGAGAAGCAGAUCUAAAUUGUUAAAGGUGCCACUUUGAGAGAUAAUCUACCAGAGUUGUGCACUCUCCAAAAGCCAUAGAUGUUACAACGUGACUGGGCCGGCACGCUGUUUAUAUGGAGGAAAAGUGGACGGGACGACAGGCUGUCCUCACUCAGGUGGAAGGGGCGUGCCUCGUUGUCCGGCUGGAAAUUGUGGGAAAUUCGGGAGAAUGGUUGCCCCGGCGGAUUUUAAGGAGAAGCACUGAAAUUUGGGAGUCUCCCGGAAAAUUCGGGAGGGUUGCACCGCCUGACAGGUAAGCACCUCACAAGUGGACCAGGGAAUGGAGGCAGAGUGGAACACAGAGGACAACGCCCUAGCCUUGGCCGCAUCAUCGAGGGGCGGUACAUUCUCCUGUACCUGUUCAAUCAGCAUGAAGUGCUACCAGCUGUGCGGCCAGGUGGGACCCAGUAAACCUUUCUUUACUUUGCCUCAUUCAGGUCUGGCUCUCCUCUGUGUCAAGGCAGGUGAAUCAGGCGGCAAUUACCUAUGACAUUUAAAGAAGUGUGCUGUGUGAAGGACUGAGAGCCCCGGACGGGAGAUAUUUAUGUUUGGUGACUUUAAUUGUGAUUCUUCCACACCCCGCCCUUCCUAAAAAGACUUGUAUAAUAAAUGCCCUUUUUGGCUUGCUGCAAAA